rnacentral:lncRNA from 1 species
UUCUAUCCUUCCUUGAAGUAUAUCCGCUUCUGAGCUCUUUCCACGUGUAAACUCUGUCGAGUCUUGACUAUGUAAACUCUGAUCAGACUUUAUUAAACUCUGUCAGACUUUGCUAAACUCUGUCAGACUUUGCUAAACUCUGAUCAGCUUCCAGUUUAAACUCUGAUGAUUCCUGUUCUAAAACAAACCUUAAGAACAUCAGUAAUCAUCAAUUAUAUCUAACAUUCUCCACCAAAGUUGAAGGAGAAAAGUUGAUAAUGAUUUUGGAGGAUACCGGCCUCAACGUUCCCAACGCCUCUUUGGUAAAAAAGUUUGAAAUAAUGUACAGGCCUCCUUCCUCAAUAGUGGUGGUCAUAUUCUUCCAGUUAUCAGCGUAUACAUAAGCGUGGACGUGGCAGUUCUGAUUUAAACAUGAAAUUUUUUUGUAAGUACAAAGGAUUUAAAUGCACUACAUCCUGCCAACAACUAAUGGUGAACAACAUGUUUAUAACAUUCUUAAAAGAAGACAAUACACUUGUGUUGGUCAGAAAACAAACUUACGUCAUCAUCCAGUAGAAUUAGAUUAUAUCCACUGACAACUUCAUUCCCGUUUGAUCCAGAAGGCCACAUCCUUGUUACU